rnacentral:rRNA from 1 species
CCUACGGGUGGCAGCAGUGGGGAAUAUUGGACAAUGGGGGCAACCCUGAUCCAGCCAUGCCGCGUGUGUGAAGAAGGCCCUCGGGUUGUAAAGCACUUUCAGUGAGGAAGAACGCCUGGUGGUUAAUACCCAUCAGGAAAGACAUCACUCACAGAAGAAGCACCGGCUAACUCCGUGCCAGCAGCCGCGGUAAUACGGAGGGUGCGAGCGUUAAUCGGAAUUACUGGGCGUAAAGCGCGCGUAGGUGGCUUGAUAAGCCGGUUGUGAAAGCCCCGGGCUCAACCUGGGAACGGCAUCCGGAACUGUCAAGCUAGAGUGCAGGAGAGGAAGGUAGAAUUCCCGGCGUAGCGGUGAAAUGCGUAGAGAUCGGGAGGAAUACCAGUGGCGAAGGCGGCCUUCUGGACUGACACUGACACUGAGGUGCGAAAGCGUGGGUAGCAAACAGGAUUAGAUACCCCAGUAGUC